AAGCAAUUUGCUCAUAGCCAUAGCUUUCUUGUGAAAGUAGGAUAUUAACCCAGGUGUCUUGGUGCUGGAGAACAGAACUGGCCAGAGUCCAUCCUGUCUCCCACCGGCAUCCCAUUACGAAAUGAACACAGAAAAGGCAGGUCUGCAAUGCCAACAUCUAGUAUCUAUCCCAAAGACCAGGGAGAAAGGAAGGAAAGAUUCUGGUUCUGUCCUCUUCCCCAAGGCAAGGCUGGCUGCCCUACCAACAGAGGCAAAGAGAAGAGUGUGCAAGGCUGGCUGCCCUCCCAACAGAGGCAAAGAGGAGUGUGUGUUGAAAUAUCCAUUGAAUCCCUGAGACAACUGGAUCCUGGCCCAUUGAAUCAUAAACUCAUUUCAGAGAAGAUGAAACUGAUGUGCGUCAAAAAGCUGGUAGUCUGUCAAGGAAAUGAGCUGAACAUGUCUGUGUACAGCUUUUGUGCCAUCCCUGGAUGAGCGAGCUGUCUGCCUCUAUGUUCUCCACAAAAUGGAAUAUAGCUGUACACCCAAGCCAAGUUAUGGAGGCUGGGAAGACCUAGAAUGUGGCAUCACUAUUUGGUUAUUUAGAAAAUUGUUACCUCAAAAAUGACCUAGGGGUCCUUAGAAUAAUAACACACAGAAGAAUAGCCUCAUUUUUCUGUUGGGCCCAGGAAACCAUGCCGAUUACCGACCGAGCUCUCAAUGGAAAAAUGCAGUCGGCGUGAACCACGCACGAACACAGCAGAGAAAGAAGAAAACACACACCACGAGGAACCCUAAUAGGACAAUACAUUAUAAGCCUCAUGGUACAUCCACUUGGUGUGCUGGGAGAGUCAGGAUGAGGACCUGAGAAGAACAGCAGCUUGAACCUGACUUCAUUUAACAGCCCACUGCCCUCUUGCCAAGAACCCAUCACAGACCUUCCCAGAAGAGAGGGAUGAGCCUCACCUAUGAAUAAGUCCUCAGAAACUCAAAUUUGAUUCUAAUGGAUUGUUUUCUCAGAAAGACUGAGCAUGUCCCCCCACAUCUCUGUCAUUUCCCACAGUAGUAACCUCUGCAGAUGCCACAUAGAAAACAAAACAAAACAAAAAAACAUGAGGUUGGUGGGCAGAUAGGCAGGGUAUAAACAAACAGCCUUGUAACCCAGAAGCUGUGUGAUAUACAGUAAACUUCACAACACUGAAAAGAUGUCCUAUCUGUUAAAAUGGGGUAAUAACAACUACCCGAAUGUUUAGGAAUAGAACUUCAAUAAAUGAUACAUUUUAUAGUACAGCAGACCAUCCUGUAAAGGUUUCAUCCUUCACUGUGGUGAUAAAUAUCCCAAACCACAUUGAAAAGCAUUGCAUCUACAUUUAUCUACACUGUAACUGUACUGUAAAUCAUGGGGGAGGGGAGAAUCAUAAAAACACCACCUGUCACCGUGUCAUUAAAGCAAGUUGGAAGUGAUACUUACAGAAACACAGCAAGAGCACCCCCAGUCACACAGUUCAAUCUCUUAGCAAGCGUUUUCUUUCUAGCCCAGUGGUUCUCAGUUUGGAAUUUUUGGCACUGCCUAGAGAUAGUUUUGUUGUUAAAACUGAGAAAAGAGCCGGGCGUGGUGGCACACGCCUUUAAUCCCAGCACUCAGGAGGCAGAGGCAGG
rnacentral:lncRNA from 1 species